UUAUGGAUACGGAACUGGCGGAUAGUGGAGUUCACCACAUGGACCGUAUCCAGGAAAAGCCGACCGCCUGGGCAAGAUUU
rnacentral:ncRNA from 2 species